rnacentral:lncRNA from 1 species
CAUAAAACUCUCUUCCAUCUUGUGGGUGUUCAGUUGAUUCUAACUUAAUGUGAACAUACAGAUUAGAUACUAUGCUGAGAAUAGGUUUUAGUUAAGAAUGGAGAGCAGGCGAUGGGUUCUGGAAGCCAGAGAUCCCAGAACGGACUUAAAACAGAGAUUCGUAUACAAUGUUGAUCAAAUCAGAGAGGAGGAAGACAGCACGCAGCAGAGGGGGCAUGCACCUCAGCUGGCAGGACCCCUGGGAUUUAACCACACUCAGACCACCUUCGC